GUGGGGCCUUCCAAAGCCGAGUCUGGCCAGGAGCCGGCGUCUCGCAGCCAGGGUCAGGGCCAGGGCCCCGGCACAGGCAGCGGAGACACCUACCGGCCCAAGAGGCCUACCACGCUCAACCUUUUCCCGCAGGUGCCGCGGUCUCAGGUAAGACGCAAGCAACCCUGUGCUGAGAGAGGGGGCGGCGCCCUGCGUGGACAGGGAAGACGGAGGGGCGCGGGGCUGUUGGUGACGCCGGGUACCUAGGCGCGCCAUGCCUGGGGUGGGACAGGUUUUCUGCUGGGAGGGAUAGAGGAAGGACUUGACAAGGAACAGGAAAGUCUGUCCUGGGAAGGACUGAAUCCAACUGUCUGGGUAUGGAGCCUGCACUGCUAGGGAUUUGAGUGGGGAGAGUUGCAGAGGACUAACAAAGGAGUUGAGGUCCUGCAGUUAGGUCCUCUUCGGGUUAGUGCUUCUGUGAAGGUUGAGGCAGCAGCAAGGCCUGGAGAAAAGAGCCUCCGAAAUGGGAUGAAGGUGGGGAUGGGAAUUCUGGGUCUGUCUCCAGUUGGACAUCUCAGCAGCUGGACAUUCCAGAAGGCAGCAAUAGAGUUGGGGUGGGGGUGGAGUUGCUUGGCUGAGUUGGGGGCCUAGGGCCCCUUGCUGGUGGCUGGAUGCCAAAGAGGGCUCCGUCGACCCAUUGUCUUGUAGGCCUAGGCAGGAGAGAUACUGGGAGGGAAGGCGCUGAGGAGGUAGGGCUGCUAAUGGAUGGUGCAGGGGCUGCAAGGAAGGGGUUGGUCCCUUUCCCAGUAUCCUCUUGGCAUGGCUUCUGGCAGCCCAGCUCAUCAAUGGUGUGUGUUGCUUAUGGCAUUUCCUGGGGAGGGAGCCCAAGUUGUGUGUGGAGAGCCUUGUGCAUGG
rnacentral:lncRNA from 1 species